UACGAAGGGGGCAAGCGUUGUUCGGAAUUACUGGGCGUAAAGGGCGCGUAGGCGGCCGAUCAAGUCAGGCGUGAAAUUCCCGGGCUCAACCUGGGGGCUGCGCUUGAUACUGAUUGGCUUGAAUGCGGGAGAGGAUAGUGGAAUUCCUGGUGUAGCGGUGAAAUGCGCAGAUAUCAGGAGGAACACCAGCGGCGAAGGCGGCGCUCUGGGCCGGUACUGACGCUGAGGAGCGAAAGCGUGGGUAGCAAACAGG
rnacentral:rRNA from 1 species